UUUUUACGUUUGUUUGAAAGGUACCAUGCUUUUAUUUUGAAACAGGAAACUGGCGCAAAACCGUUAAAGAGCUUGUUAGUAACGUUUCUUUUAGGAUAUGGUAAAUAGUGUGCCUUAAAGUGAAAAAUAUGUACGUUUCCUUUGCCAAAUAGUACCUGGCUGACAGUGGCACUGUCACGGUCCGGGGUCCUGUGUCUGUGGAAUGCGCGGAUUGCCACACCCCCCGGGUUAGGCCAUCCUCGGCACACCUGCUCUCCAUCGCUGUGAUUACAAGAGAAGCUACUUCACCCGGCGCUGACGGAUGCUCCAUGCCAGUCCGUAAUCACAUCACAAGUGGUUUUGAUUCGGCGUUCAGCGUUUGUCACCUGCCUGUCCUCCUGCUCGAUUGGAUCUCUCUGUACAUCACCUGGCUCUUCCACUAGCUCCACAGGACUUUCUGCUCACGGACUGCCACUCUACCCUCCCGAGCUCCCACGGUCCCGCUCUAUCCCUUCCACGGUCCCGAUUCCGGCUUCCUCGUGUCCUUUCCUCCCCGGGUUUUUCAGUUCCUCGUUUUGCUCUCUAGGUUUCCCGGGUCGCCUUUAGUUAUUGUAAUAAAGUGCCUUUUCUGUUAGCGCUGAGUCUGCGUUUGGAUCCUUUUGUGCACACGCGCCGUGGCGCAUGACAGGCACAAGGUUUGUUAAUGUUUCCUUUAACGAAAUAAGUUACGUGCAAUCAAAAUGUCGUUUAAUAGUUUAUGUGUUGUUAACCUUGACCUUGACCUUUAUGUGUAGCUGUAAGUUAGUGAGGUGAUAUAAUGAAUUGAGUGAUGUAAAUUUGAUGUAUAUGCUAUAUGUGAGCAGGAGAAAUUUGUUUCUUUUGAUUAUUAAUAUUGCUGGUUUUGUUUUGUUCCUAGCUCUUACGGUGUCUUCACUGAAUGUUUCAAUAAAAAAAAUCGUUUCCAAUAACACCUCUGUGAAGCAUCAGUAUAAGAGACCAUCAUUCAGCCAGGGAUGCUACAAUAAGACAUAAACAAAUUUAAAAGAGUGGAGUGGAGAGGUUAUGUGGGAUAAGCUAUUUUGAACAAGUGAGUUUUGAGUUGGGACUUAAAGAGAGAGAAGGAAGAGAUAUUUCUUAAAUCAGGAGGUAGUGAAUUCCAGAGUCGAGGAGCAGAGCAGCUGAAAGCCCUGUUCCCCAUGGUGACAAGACGGGGGAAGGGGAUGGCGAGUGAAAGUGAAGAAGUAGAUCUGAGACAACGAGAUGGGGCGGUGAUCUUAACCAGAUCAGAGAAAUAUGCAGGGGAGAGAUGAUGAAUAGCCUUAAAUGUGUUCAAGAGUAUUUUGAAAUUGAUACGAUAUUUGACCGGGAGCCAAUGAAGCUGCUGCAGAACAGGAGUAAUGUGGUGGAUAGAAGGGGUCCUGGUGAUAAUACGGGCAGCAGAGUUCUGGACGCGUUGGAGCUUGUGGAUGGAUUUUUGAAUAAGACCAAAAAGAAGUGAAUUACAAUAAUCAAUCCGGGAAGUAACAAGGCUAUGGACAAGAAUGGCAGUGGCAUGUGGGGUGAGAAAAGGACGGAGACGAUUAAUGUUGCGCAAUUGAAAAUAUGCAGACCGAGUAACAUUAUUAAUAUGUGAAUUGAAAGAUAGAGUACUGUCGAGGAUGACACUCAAAGUUUUCACAGAGGAAGAAACGAAGACCGGCGAGUUAUUGAUAGUAACAGACAGUGGUGGUCCUAGCCUGGGCGAACACUUCUGUUGUGGAUAGGCGUAGCUUUGGGUCACGUGGUGUCGGUAAUAGUAAUAGUGAUUGCUAUAUCACCUGUUCAGGUCGCGAGGGAAUUUGUGAAUGAGUGGGUGAUGGGGGAAGUCGACUUUUGCUGAUCGCUCACGCUUAGAAUGUUUUUUGAUCACUGUUUUUUUCUACGGAUUUUAAGGUUUUGAUAACAAAUAAAGGAGUUUUUAAUCUGGAACUGUGACUUACGUUUUGAACAGCGGGCGCGUCAACAUUAUUCCCCUAUUCAGCUGCUCGGCGACUCAAAGGCUUGACAGUCGCCAAUAUUUGUCAGCAAAAAGGUGCGACGGCAAUGGAGCUUCCCGCAAUCAGCGUUGAAUAAACGCCGACGCGAGCCCACACACCGCCGCCACUUCACCCAUUAAAGCAGCUAGUAGUCUGACAGAU